GUGGUGCUGCGGAGAGCCCCCAGCUGCAGUACUGCAUGGAUCGUGCCUAAUGUCCAGCCAGACGGAACGAUUAUGAACUGUUUACAGCGCGUCGGCCGUACUAGCGACACAACCCGUACCGGAGAGGGAGUGGGGAGGAAUGGUCCGUUCUGUGUGUGCACUGAAAAUAAAUCUGGUGUUUGUACUUAGCCCUGACUCUGUAAAUGGGGACCAAACAAAGGGGCUCGGACCCCGAUAGACAACACUAUUCCAGCGAUGAUUUGUGUGUCAGGGGCCGUUACUCUGGUCCAUAAAUAGGCCUGUUGGAGGUGAUAGAGGGCCUCCGAGGGAGACUGAGCACUUCGGCUGAUUCCCAGAGAAAGGUAAUGACAGGCCCCGUCAAUACUCAGCGCUCCAUUUACUACGGACCCCGUCUGCACUACUAACAAGACUUGAGGCUAAUACUCGGAGGACCCAGACCAUGUCCGCUCAGCUCUGACCUCCUCAAACAGCUCCAGGCUAUAUGUGUUGUCGUCGUCCGCAAAGUAGACUAUUCCAGCUUGGCUGCUGUUGGCGUUGAAGGUCUCCCUUAGCCACCGCAGGGCCAGAUUCCUCUGCAUGGUCCCCCUGGGGAUUCUGGGGUCCCGAGUGUCACCCCUCAGCUUAUAGUUCCUGGGCGUCUCUACAUUGAGGUGGGUGUAGUUAAGCCCUGUUUCUCGGAGGAGCCGCGUCACAAGAGGCGUUCUCCUUUGGGAGUCCUCCACCAGGAUCCAGUGCAGGUUUGGAACAUGGAGGAAGGUGUUUGCCAGCCUUGUAAGCUCUGCCUUCUGCACAGGUCGACUAUAUGUGGGGGUGAUGAUGUGGAUGGUAGGCAGCACGUCGGACCAUGGUGGAGGCCGUGUAUACACGUACUCUGUCCUCACCACCUCCACAAUGUCCUUAUCUGAGGCACAGUAUUCCUUGGAGUCCUGCGCCUGGCCACCUGCCUCCCUCCUGCCCUCAACGCCAUCAUCUGCAGAUUUGGGGAUAAGAAGACAUGUGGUGACAGGCUGCAAAAAGUGAAAGCAGGCACCGUGAGAGGAUAACACAGCUGAUGGACAGAGAGACAGCGCAAGGAAAGAGAGGAGGAUUUUCCUGCGGCACAUAGAUUACCACAAUCUGCUGAUGGCCAGAUGUUCAACAGAGGCUGCCAGCGAGCACGCUGCCAAAAAACCUCUAGCUUCUCUUUUAAGAGCACACAAAAGGAAGCUUGUGUGUAGAGGUGGGUCAGAUAGCACUGGCAAAAAAAAUCACUGAAUCCAAAAAGAUAUAAAAAAUGACUGUAUGCAUUUAAUUGACAGGACCUUUUGUAUAAAAAGGGAAUUUUGGAAAGG